rnacentral:misc_RNA from 1 species
UUGAAAUAAACCUGAUAGGUUGUUGCUGGUUCUCUCGGGAGCAUGUGCACACUUGUCAUCUUUAUAUCUCCACCUGUGCACCUUUGUAAAUCUGAAUAUCUUUCUGAAUGCCUGGCAUUCAGGUUUGAGGAUUGAUCUUUUUCUUUCCUUACAUUUUUCAGGUUUAUGUUUUUCAUAUACCCCAAGUAUGUUAUAGAAUGUUAUAAACGGGCCUUUGUGCCUAUAAUAAACUUAUA